ACCUGGGAGACUAACAUUCCAAGCAAAUUUUGUGGCCAAGAAAAAGAAGACUUAUUUUCAUAUAGGGCAGCUCACUGCCCUUUCUAUAAUCCAGGAUGGACCAGGCCUUCCAAUUUUUUCAGACAUAGUAACUGACUACAUUCUGAAUGGGAAAUCAUUACUAUUGAAUUUAGAGGAUUUGCAAGAUGGACUAAAAGAUGUAUUAUUAAAGAUGCAGGAUUGUACAUCUGAGGCUGAGAUCAGGAAUUUAUAUUCCAGUAUUUUUGAUGAAGCAACUGACGCUGGUUUUAUAAUCCCAGUGUCCAGAUUUAACAAACAGCAUGUCAGACUCCUUCAGGCUGCUUUAAUUGAAAGCCAGAUUUCUACAUGCCAAGAUGAAUUAGAUCAAUUUAUCAGAGGAUUGGAACUUCAUCAGGUGUUGGGACUCUUGAGGCAGGACUCUUAUAUAGCCUCCUCAAGAGUUUUACUAAGUGGCAGGAUUAAACCUGUUACAGUGGCAACACUGAGGAAACUGUUGAAAUUCCAGUUUACUACAGGGAAUCAGGAAAAAGACCAAAAAGCCACAAAACAAGGUUUUUUAACCUUUCUCCAGGCCACAAAAGGAACAGCCACAGUUGUAAAUGGAAUAAAAGUUGAAACCAAAGAUGUAUUAAUGUGGCUAAGUGGGUCAAGUGUUAUACCAGCAAUAGGUUUUCACAAACCUAUUGACAUUGAUUUUGGAGAGUCCACAUUUGUGAACACCUGUGCUCUAGCCGUAACACUCAAAGUUCAACCUGAUUUAUCAGAUGCGGUCACAUACUACACAGAGUUGAUCAUAAACAGCCAGACAUUUGGAAAAGAAUAAUAGGGAGCUUUUCUCAUCACUUGGCGUCCGGCGUCUGUCUUCUGUCAUUGUUAACUUUUACAAAAAUCUUCUCUGAAACUACUGGGCCAAAUUUAACCAAACUUGUCCACAAUCAUCAUUGAGGUAUCUAGUUUGAAAAAGUGUCCGAUAACCCGGCCAAUAAACCAAGAUGGCCGCCAUGGCUAAAAAUAGAACACAGGGGUAAAAUGUAGAUUUUGGCUUAUAUCUCUGAAACCAAAGCAUUUAGAGCAAAUUUGACAAGGGAUAAAAUUGUUUAUCAGGUCAACAUCUAUCUGCCCGGAAAUUUUUUGGUUAUUAUCUUGAAUAUUAUUAUAGAUAGAGAUAAACUUUAAACCGCAAUAAUGUUCAGCAAAGUAAGAUCUACAAAUAAGUCAACAUGACCAAAAUGGUCAGUUGACCCCUUAAGGAGUUAUUGCCCUUUAUAGUCAAUUUUUAACAAUUUUUCAUAAAUUUUUGUAAUCUUAUACAAAAAUCUUCUCCUGAAACUAUUAAGACAAAUUUAACCAAACUUGUCCACAAUCAUCAUAAGGGUAUUUAGUUUUAAAAUUGUGUCCGAUGACCACGCCCGUGAACCAAGAUGGCUGACAUGGCUAAAAAUAGUACAUAGGGUAAAAUGCAGUUUUUGGCUUGUAUCUCUGAAACAGAAGCGUUUAGAGCAAAUCUGACAGGGUAUAAUUGUUCAUUAGGUCAAGAUCUAUCUGCUCUGAAAUUUUCAGACCAUUCAGGCAACCUGUUGUUGGGUUGCUGCCCCUGAAUUUGUAAUUUUAAGAAAAAUUUUCAGCUUUUAAUUUUUAUCUUAAAUGUUAUUUUGAUAGAGAUACAUUGUAAACAGCAAUACUGUAAAGCAAAGUAAGACCUAAAAAUAAGUCAACAUGUCCAAAAUGGUUAAUAGACCACCUAGGGAGUUAUCACCCUUUAUAGUCAAUUUUUAACAAUUUUCAUAAAAUUUGUUAAUUUUUACAAACAUUUUCCACUGUAACUACUGGGCCAGGUUCAUUAUAGAUAGAGAUAAUUGUAAGCAGCAAGAAUGUUCAGUAAAGUUAGAUCUACAAACACAUCACCAUCACCAAAACACAAUUUUGUCAUGAAUCCAUCGGUGUCCUUUGCUUAAUAUGCACAUAGACCAAGGUGAGUGACACAGGCUCUUUAGAGCCUCUAGUUUGUAACUUUUUUGUAAGCAUUAAAUACAGUAUCAAGAUCUGAUUUAUUGGAAAAACUUCAUUUUUUGGGGGGAUUCCAAUAGAAACUGAUAAAGAGAAGUUUCAAAAUGAAUUGCACAUAUAUUUUUGAAUUAAUCGUUAUAUUAUAUGCAGAUGAUACUGUAUUUUUAUCAUAAACAGAAGAAGGUAUGCAGCGAUCAAUUAACAUUUUUCAGUUAUAUUGUGAAAAGUGGAAAUUAAUAGUAAAUUUAAAUAAAACAAAGGUUAUUAUUUUGAGAAAGAGGAAAGUAAAAAGAAAUUUAAAAUUUUGAUUACAAGACACAGAACUUGAGAUUGUUAAAAAAUUUCUCUUAUUUAAGUGUUGUCUUUGAAUAUAACGUACUUUUUUAGAUACCAAAAAAAAACUUAUUGAUCAAGCACAAAAAUCAAUGCAUUUUAUUCAUAGAAUUGUUAGAAACAAAAGUAUUCCUAUAGAUUUGCAACUGAAAUUAUUUGAUUCCAUGAUAGGACCAAUUCUUUUAUUUGGUUCGGAAGUUUGGGUUUUUGAGAAUUUGAAAAUAAUGGAACAGAUACAUUUGAAAUUUUGUAAAAGAAUUUUAAAAUUUUGAAAUACUACACCCAAUUUUAUGGUGUAUGGAGAAUUGGGAAGAUUUCCUCUGCAAAUUGGAGUUGAAUGUAAAAUGAUUUCGUAUUGGUGUAAAGUUGUAAACAAUAGCAGUAAACUCAGUACUUUGUACAGGCUGAUGUUAUCAUUGAAGAAUCAUGGUCAUUAUGUUUUCAAAUGGACUGAUUCUGUCGAAUCAAUAUUUAACAACACUGGUCUAGGAUAUAUUUUCAUGAAUCAAAUUGGCUUUUGUGAUAUAAAUUAUCUCAAUCAAAUAUUGAGUGAUCAGUUUAUUACCUAAUGGUUUGGGGAUAUAGAAAAAUCAUCUUGGGGUCUUUCGGAUUAGAAAAAUAUCUGAUCAGGCUAUCUGAACAGAAUAGAGGGUGGGUAACUAAAUUAAGGACAUCUAACUUGCAUAUUCCAAUCGAGACAGGCUGUUGGCAAAAUAUACCUAGACCAGAGAGAAUAUGUACUAUGUCAUAAAUUUGUUGGUGAUGAAUUUUAUGUUUUAUUUGUAUGUAAACAUGAUUCUAUUGUUAAUUAUAGAAACCAAUACUUACCUAGAUAUUAUACCAUUAAUCCGCAAUACAUUAAAAUGGAAGAUUUAUUGUCAAUAUGUAAUAUAGAAGUCUACAAACGACUGUAAUUUUUUAUUAAGAAAAUUGCUUGUUUAUUCUUAAAUAUUUACAAAUGUAUUUCUAUGUGUUUAAAAAGUACUGCAUGCUCAUUUAGUCAUUCAAUUGUUUAUGUGUUAUACUUUGACCUCAUGUUACACAUGUAUGUGUCUGAGCGUUAUCAAUAAAUCUUGUAUCUUGAAAAACUAGACAAGUGUUUUACACAAUCUAAUAAAUGUUAAUUUGGACAGUGUUAAAGAUGACAAGAUAAACUCUUUUGUUAGAUUGAGAUUCAGUUUAGUUUGCAUUAAUUUUAAGAGCCCUCAACAAAAAUUUUGGAAUGAAAAGAAAAAAAACAGCAUCAAAACCCAAAGGAGACAUGCCUUGAUGCAAUCUUGGUUGUAAAUUUGAGAUACAGAAUUAACUUUAUAGAAAAACUAUGCAUAAACUAAAAGUGAGGCCUACACCUUUAUAAUUUGAGAAAGUUUAAAAAUCUGAAAAAAGAUGUUUAAAGGUUAUUGAUUAAGCUGUAAUGAAAUAUAAAAAAGAUACAGGUAAAAAAAUAAAAAAAUCUUAGAUCUCAAAACACCAGAGUAUUGGAAAGUUUUGAAUCGAAACAAAUAUUCAAAACAGCCUGAUAUUGAUUUUGCAGUCUUACUCAAUUUUUACAUCGAGAUGACCAUGAGGUCAUUCUGAUGUAUUGCUAUCGCCUAAAUUUCCAUUAUGCAAAUUUGUUUUGGGUUUUCAACCGAUCUAUGAAAAUUAUAGAUCAACGGUCAUUAUCUAGUGCAAAAUAACAUUAUUAAUCGCUUGUUUCAAAUUCAUUUUUUCAAUGAAUACUAUAAAUAUUUUUAUUAAAACACAAAUUAAUAAUGUGUUGUCGUAUGGUAUAUAUAUAUAUAAAAGUAUAAAAAUCAUUGAUGAUAUCUAUGCACACGUACCGAAAAAUUGUGUUAAAGCUUGCGGGAAGAAUAUCUCAGAAACGUUUUGCGACACUCCCGGCAAGGACCGGUAACUCUGUUAUUGUUUUGCGGGAAAAUAUGAAUGACUUCUCAUAUCCAAUCUUUUAGAAAAAUCGAAUUUUUUUUACAGAAGAGUGUCCACCAUGCACUUGCACUGCACUAUAAUUAGAAUAGUAGAAUAGAAUGAUAUACAAAUGGAUGAAAAUUAUAUAUACAUGCAACCGUAAUUAUUAAUAUGAUAUAUAACAACAAACCAGUGUAUACUGUCUGGGACUAUUAUUAUAUUAGUAUGAUAGUCCCAGGUAUACUGAUUUGUAUCACUACAAUAUAAUAGUAAUUACGGUGCGGUUGAAUUUCCUGUUAUUAAUUCAUCAUCCACGCACAAACUUGUAUCAGAAAAAAAAUAUAUCUCUGUACAUUAACCUCAGUUUCAGGUAUAGAGAUGUGAUCUGUUUCUGUGACAUGUGCUUUUAACCAUCCACAAGAACUUGCGGGAUAGGUCAUCCGAUGUUCAGUACUUCAGUUUUUGAUUUCAAGAAGUUAAAAUCAGGUGACUCAGAUCCAAUAGACUGAUCAAAAUGUAUUGAAUGCACUGAACGAAAUUCUGAAACAGUGCAAUUACAAAAGAUGAAGUAAUCAAAUGUUUUGAGAACCUAAAAAAUGAUAGUCAGUGGUGAUAAUAUAAUUAUGAAUGAGUAUAUUAAUUCUUGAUGUCAUUUUUUUUAUUGAUGUGUAUAUUGAAUGUUUAAUUUGAUUUUUAAAACAUUAUCUUUCUUGGGUGAUUGGAACCAUAUAUGGAGAAAUAGGAGGUUGUGAAUGUCCUGUAAGCUUCGAUAUAAAAUCUUGCAUGAUUUCAUAUUGGUCAAAGUUGAUAAUUAGCAAACCUGUAAAUUAUUUGUAAUUGCAUACAAAUUAAUGUUGAGUUAAUCAUGGAACUAAUGUAAAAUUUAAUUGGUUGAACUGUAUAAAAUCUAUUUUUAAUGAUACUGGUUUAUCUUCUGCAUAUUUAACUCCAUCUUGUAUUAAUGAAACUUGGUUAAAUACCACAUUUAGGACAUCUCUCCAAAGAUCAGUUUAAACAAAUAUGGUACUUAGAUAUUCAAACGAACCUGAAAAUAUUGAAUUGUCACCUUUUUAAUGAUCUUUUUGGCUUUGAAAAGAAUUGAGAUAUUUUUGAACUCUGUAAUGUAUAUACUUUGUCAUGUUAGACUGGCUUUUCAUAAUAUAAACUACAAAUAAACUGCCAAUACUGAUUGUGAGAGGGAAAAAAUAAAACGUGUGAACACUGAUAUAAGAUCUUGGUGACAGAUUUUAUUAUGUAAUGACAUACAUUUAUGGCUAAAGAAAAAAAAAGUAUAUUGAUUUUAAAUGUAUUACUUUUCCAAAUGCAAUUAAAUUUAACGAAUUUUAUAAUUCUUUGCUGAGUGGAAAUGUUACAGCACACCAUAGACAAAGAAGCAAGUAAUCUAUGUAUACAAUGAUAUAACAAAAAAUCCUGUAAUAAAGUAGGUGUUUUUAAAAAAUUAUUGACUAGAUUGGCCACAAAAUCCUCAUUUAUUUAUUCUGUAGGAUUUGUUAGUAUAGAGAACAGCCAUUGGAAUGAAGGCUUAUUUUGUGCUGCAGUGGUUUUCUGGAUGAGUUAUAUCACUUGCAAUUAACACAUGUUGGUGAAUAAAAUAUUUAGUAUUAUAUACAUUGUAUUUGUGUGUAACAAUGUAUAGUUUGAGCAGUACAUAUUCAUUCUUAUACAUAAUGGACAAAUAAAUUUAGUUUUAAGGUGGAACCCAACACCUUGAUUAAUAUUAAUUUGGCUUGUUUAAUUUUCAUAAAAUUUUGACAAAAUGUUUACUGUGACAUAUUGACAAAAAUAUAAUAAUUUCAUUAAAUUUGAACCAAACACUUUAUCACAAAAUUUUCUUUGGCUUUAUAACAGUUUGACAAACAGUAAUUUUGAUCAUUGAGAAGCUUUAUAUUUCCUUAACAAUACCAUGUGAUUAAAACAAUUAGCUGAUUUUUACAGAGUUAUCUCCCUGUAGUGUUAGGUACCACCUUAAGGUUACAAGAGCGCAAUUAUUCGUAAUGCAUUUUCCAUAGGGUACCACUGGUGUUCCGUAUUUUUUUCCUCGAAGACUACACAAACUAGGGAAAAAUGGGUAGCAGUUCCUGUUACUAGAAAUGCCAGUGUUGCAUUACAACCAAAAAAAUAUACAUGGUCAUGUGGCAAAAAUUGACUUAAAAUGCAGUUGAAAAAGAUCGUCUAUUUUUUUCGCUUAAAGAAAAAGGCAUAUUUUUAAUGGCUCCGACGUGCAGAAAUGGAACAUAUUUUCUAUACUUUGUAAAAUGUGAAUAUGAUUUUCUGCAUUUUUUAAACCUAAUUGGAUAAGCUUUCGAUUAAAUGUAAUUCCAAUCCUGUAUCAUCCAAUCAGAAGCCGUGUAGGAUUCUAUUCUGAGUACCAUCUUGGGGUAAAAAACUUGCCAGUAAAAUGUAAACAAAUAAUUGCGCUCUUGUAACCUUAAUUAGUUAUAAUUGAAUGAGAUAGAAUUAUCACUUAACUUUAUAGUGUUAUGUAUUUUUAUAUGUGCACAAUUUAUUUUGUGUACUAGGUAUUAUUAUUUCAUUCUUUGUACCAAUGUGUAUACAGUGGUUUUAGAGACUAAAAUUGUCUUGUCUUGUCUUUUAUUUGGUUAGUGAUUAACUGUACAUGUAUUAAACAGUUAAAGAAGUAAUUAUCUGUGCCUCAAAUACUUUUUUACUGACAUUGUUAUUACGGGGUUUUAAUAGAUUGCUGAAUAAAAUUUUGAACAUUGUGUUGGUAAUUGAUAGAUGGCAUUAAAC